AGAGUUUGAUCCUGGCUCAGGACGAACGCUGGCGGCGUGUCUAAUACAUGCAAGUCGAGCGAGCUUGCCUAGAUGAUUUUAGUGCUUGCACUAAAUGAAACUAGAUACAAGCGAGCGGCGGACGGGUGAGUAACACGGUGGGUAACCUGCCCAAGAGACUGGGAUAACACCUGGAAACAGAUGCUAAUACCGGAUAACAACACUAGACGCAUGUCUAGAGUUUGAAAGAUGGUUCUGCUAUCACUCUUGGAUGGACCUGCGGUGCAUUAGCUAGUUGGUAAGGUAACGGCUUACCAAGGCAAUGAUGCAUAGCCGAGUUGAGAGACUGAUCGGCCACAUUGGGACUGAGACACGGCCCAAACUCCUACGGGAGGCAGCAGUAGGGAAUCUUCCACAAUGGACGAAAGUCUGAUGGAGCAACGCCGCGUGAGUGAAGAAGGGUUUCGGCUCGUAAAGCUCUGUUGGUAGUGAAGAAAGAUAGAGGUAGUAACUGGCCUUUAUUUGACGGUAAUUACUUAGAAAGUCACGGCUAACUACGUGCCAGCAGCCGCGGUAAUACGUAGGUGGCAAGCGUUGUCCGGAUUUAUUGGGCGUAAAGCGAGUGCAGGCGGUUCAAUAAGUCUGAUGUGAAAGCCUUCGGCUCAACCGGAGAAUUGCAUCAAAAACUGUUGAACUUGAGUGCAGAA
rnacentral:rRNA from 1 species